rnacentral:lncRNA from 1 species
CUUUUUCCUUGAGGAACAAAACAAACAAUAAAUCAGGUAAGCUAUGCAGACUGCUGAGACCUGUGAAAUAUUGCAGAAUGACAGAACUUUUUUGCUUUAUUCUUAGCCUAAGCUAUUUCCUUUUUCCUUGAGGAACAAAACAAACAAUAAAUCAGGUAAGUUAUGCAGACUGCUGAGACCUGUGAAAUAUUGCAGAAUGACAGAACGUUUCCAAAUUUUUUAAGUUAGAAGGCCUCAGCAGACCUUCAAGUGCCUCUCUUGCUCCUAUUACAAUUCCACGUCAUUCAGAAAAAGGAGAGUCGUAUAUAAAGAAAACAGUCACCAUGAUUCAAUAUCCAUAACUAUGUGAUUGUGGUGGCCCGGGGGGAGGGGGAGUGUACACAAGCAAGUGCCAGCAUUAACAAUCCCCCAAAAUCGUAUCCCUUUCUCAGUAUUA